UACGAGGGGUGCAAGCGUUAUUCGGAUUUACUGGGCGUAAAGGGUGUGUAGACGGUUUAUUAAGUCUGUUGUUAAAUCCUCCGGCUUAACUGGAGAUCAGCAGUGGAAACUAGUAGACUAGAGGUUGGGAGAGAGAAGUGGAAUUCCCGGAGUAGCGGUAAAAUGCGUAGAUCUCGGGAGGAACACCGAUGGCGAAGGCGGGUCUCUGGGCCGAUACUGACGCUGAGGAGCGAAAGCGUGGGGAGCGAACAGG
rnacentral:rRNA from 1 species